rnacentral:rRNA from 1 species
CCUACGGGUGACAGCAGUGAGGAAUAUUGGUCAAUGGACGAGAGUCUGAACCAGCCAAGUAGCGUCAAGGAUGACUGCCCUAUGGGUUGUAAACUUCUUUUAUAUGGGAAUAAAAUGUUCCACGUGUGGGAUUUUGUAUGUACCAUAUGAAUAAGGAUCGGCUAACUCCGUGCCAGCAGCCGCGGUAAUACGGAGGAUCCGAGCGUUAUCCGGAUUUAUUGGGUUUAAAGGGAGCGUAGGUGGAUUGUUAAGUCAGUUGUGAAAGUUUGCGGCUCAACCAUAAAAUUGCAGUUGAAACUGGCAGUCUUGAGUACAGUAGAGGUGGGCGGAAUUCGUGGUGUAGCGGUGAAAUGCUUAGAUAUCACGAAGAACUCCGAUUGCGAAGGCAGUUCACUGGACUGCAACUGACACUGAGGCUCGAAAGUGUGGGUAUCAAACAGGAUUAGAUACCCUGGUAGUC